UACGAAGGGGGCUAGCGUUGCUCGGAAUCACUGGGCGUAAAGGGUGCGUAGGCGGGUCUUUAAGUCAGGGGUGAAAUCCUGGAGCUCAACUCCAGAACUGCCUUUGAUACUGAAGAUCUUGAGUUCGGGAGAGGUGAGUGGAACUGCGAGUGUAGAGGUGAAAUUCGUAGAUAUUGGGAAGAACACCGGUGGCGGAGGCGGCGCUCUGGACCGAGACUGACGCUGAGGCGCGAAAGCGUGGGGAGCAAACAGG
rnacentral:rRNA from 1 species